rnacentral:rRNA from 1 species
UACAACUCCCAAACCCCUGUGAACAUACCUAUACGUUGCCUCGGCGGAUCAGCCCGCGCCCCGUAAAACGGGACGGCCCGCCCGAGGACCCCUAAACUCUGUUUUUAGUGGAACUUCUGAGUAAAACAAACAAAUAAAUCAAAACUUUCAACAACGGAUCUCUUGGUUCUGGCAUCGAUGAAGAACGCAGCAAAAUGCGAUAAGUAAUGUGAAUUGCAGAAUUCAGUGAAUCAUCGAAUCUUUGAACGCACAUUGCGCCCGCCAGUAUUCUGGCGGGCAUGCCUGUUCGAGCGUCAUUUCAACCCUCAAGCUCAGCUUGGUGUUGGGACUCGCGGUAACCCGCGUUCCCCAAAUCGAUUGGCGGUCACGUCGAGCUUCCAUAGCGUAGUAAUCAUACACCUCGUUACUGGUAAUCGUCGCGGCCACGCCGUAAAACCCCAACUUCUGAAUGUUGACCUCGGAUCAGGUAGGAAUACCCGCUGAACUUAAGCAUAUCAAUA